UAUUUAUCACAGAUUCAGAUGGCAGUCUGUAUUUUGAAGCCAAAGUAAACCACCUUUUCUUUUUAAUAUUUAGAAAAACUGUACCUACUCCGGAUAGCGCAAAUUUUAUGUAAACCACAUAAAUAUUUUACAGCCAUAACUAGUGCAAGUACGAUACAAUUAUUAUAUACACAAUAACGUUAAGUAUAAAUGUUAACAUUGUAAAAUGUAAAUAUACCAGAGCUAUUUGGCAAAAUCUGUCUUACAUCCUGGGAGGUAAACAAGACAAACAAGACUAUCCAGGAUCUCGUCUGGAAGUUCUGGACAACCUUCAAAGAAAGCGUCUAUUUUCUUUUGGCGUAGAUGAGCAUGGUCCUUUUCUGUGACUACCUCUUGAGUUAUUCUGAAUUGAAUCACUUCUGCUUCAGGAUUAAAUAGUAGAGCAUCAAAAUGGGACGUGAUUAGCGCAGGGUGCUGAUGCGCUUUUCCCAAGAUCCGGUCCGACGCUACGCAGUACCCUAAUUUGCGUUCUUGGAUCUUCGCUUCUUUUUUGUCUCUUGCUCAACGGUUUUGAAACCAAGUGUUUACCUGUACCGUGCUACAGCCGAUGACUUGUGCGAUAAUUUCUCUUCUUUUAACGCACAGAGCGCGGCUUUGUUUGUAAUAUUGUUCGAGGACUGUUCUCUGUUGCUCAGUGUAUUCGAUCCGGCAAGCCAUAAUUACCUAUACAAGGUGUUACAAAGACAACUCAGUGAUCUGAAAAGGCCUCCCUGUCUGAAUAUUUUUUUGGUACUAAUAUCCCUUUCUGGAGAGGAUAGGUGCACAAAAUUUCCAGAACCUAGGCCAUCUCAUGUCCCUAAAAUGGUAGAUGCGUCGCCAUUGUACACAUUUUACUCAGACAACUACAGCAAUUUUUAUGGUAUUUUGAAGGGUUCUUGAAUAACUCGAAGUGUCUUAGACUUGAUUUGAUGAAGGACGGUAACUUCGUGAGCAACACGUUAGGCGACUACAGUUCAUAGCCAGUGGCUGUGACAACCAAACGCCGCUUGAUUAAUCGAGGUCUUGCGCUGUUUUAUCAAAUAUCUUUCAAGUUUUACGCCUGCUACUUCGUUAGUUUAGUACUAUUGUUUUAGAUGACGAACGAUCCCUUCUAGCAUAAAGCGAAGCGUGUUUUCGGUUUCGAAUCUAGAUCACAACAUGCCCCAAAGUUUUCUAGGUAGACACGUUUUCACUGCACUACCACAAGGUCACACUCAUCAUACCUAAAUACUUCGCGUCUGACGUUUAGAACAGCCGCUGAACACUAUACCAUGUGGUUAACGAUGUGGCAUGUGGAUUAUAUCUGUCCCCAAAAGCUAACAUACAGUUCACACGUGUCUUACCAAAGAUUUUUUGUUAGACAAGUUACAAUUGUGCCCUCGAACGGUCUUUCCCUCUUUGUGGCGGCAACAUCAGUGUGGAGUUCAUCAGUAGAGCAACGCUCAAUACCUACACGUUCUGUAACAAACCGGUGACGCAGCAAGUACGUUGUGUGCAGAAAAAUAAUAUUUUCUUUAAAGAUUUGCGGAAUUCUAUCCUACGGAUGAUCGAAUUGCCUCCAAGGGUACGCCGUCGUUGUACCACCGUUUAUAUCACGUCUAGUGCUGGGAGAAGCACAAACAAGCGACAUCUAUAUGAAUCACGACUUGUCGUUUUUGGUGAACUUCAUCUAUUUACGUGUCCAUUGCGACGCAUAUCGAAGAGAUGACUGUAUGAAUUAUUUUCCCAUAUAAUUUAUGUGGAAAAGUAGGCUGGAUGUAAAGUGAUUCCCCGAAGGUUUGGAUGACUAGGCUGAAAAUCUAAUUGCAUCCUAUGCUAGGACGAAGUACGUUCGUUUUGUUUGAUGUAUAUUAAAAGUUUUGUGAGGUACGCUGCUUUUUUUUUUGUAAGAUGAUGCCUGCUCCAGAAGAAAUGAGCCUUCCGAAGCGUGCAGGAUAGUGUAGAGACCGUAGAUGCUACGAAAAGCAUCGAGUGUAUAGCAAAACGAUAUGGAGAUUGUAUAUAAACAGGCAACUAAUGAUGAAUAUUUCGGAAAAGGUUUUAAGCGCCUGCUUCGAAUUUGCUAGAGUCACAUGUUUUAAAUAACUCGGUGCAAAGACAAAAUAAAAGAAGGGUGGACCACUUUUCAUAUGUCGUAUAGAAUAAAAAAUUGUGAAGAUAUGUAAAGCAAGACAAUCCAUGGUAAAACUGAUUCCCUUAGGACCGUCAUAAGCAGAAAGGCCUUGGGAUUACAAAACGUUCUACCCGCGAGUCUCUCGUCUAAAGAUGGUAGAGCUGCCUAUUUUCGUCUCUUUCCUCGGUGUCCCUACACGAUAGUUGUGCUUAAUCGCUCGAUUCUUGUCUGAACAAAACCAUGUUUAAACAACACACCUGCAUGAGCUUGUAUUUCUAAACGCCGAACGGGGACAACAACGGCAACAAAUAAUAGGUUGGUAAAUCUACCAGAAUAUAACACAAUAUGGAGAAAAUAUCGGCAUGUCUUUCGAGCGCUUGCCAACAUUGUCAAAACCAUCCGCCGGGAGGACCUCGUUCAAUGUCACUUUUUGAUUUUAUGCGGUAUCAACAGUGUGAUUUUGUUAUUGACUCUGAGUAGCAGAGGCAGUAAAAUUGCACACUUCAGCCGCAGAUACGUCCACUGAGUACGUAAUAUAUGGACGCAUUUACAAGAAUCUAUUUCGCCAUGCUAGGCACUUC
rnacentral:lncRNA from 1 species